AGUGAACGCUGGCGGUAGGCCUAACACAUGCAAGUCGAACGGCAGCACAGUAAGCGCUUGCUCUUACGGGUGGCGAGUGGCGGACGGGUGAGGAAUACAUAGGAAUCUACUUUUUCGUGGGGGAUAACGUAGGGAAACUUACGCUAAUACCGCAUACGACCUACGGGUGAAAGCAGGGGAUCUUCGGACCUUGCGCGAUUCAAUGAGCCGAUGUCGGAUUAGCUAGUUGGCGGGGUAAAGGCCCACCAAGGCGACGAUCCGUAGCUGAUCUGAGAGGAUGAUCAGCCACACUGGAACUGAGACACGGUCCAGACUCCUACGGGAGGCAGCAGUGGGGAAUCUUGGACAAUGGGCGCAAGCCUGAUCCAGCCAUGCCGCGUGAGUGAAGAAGGCCUUCGGGUUGUAAAGCCCUUUUAUUAGGGAAGAACAGCAGCAGGUUAAUACCCCGCUGUUCUGACGGUACCCAAAGAAAAAGCACCGGCUAACUUCGUG
rnacentral:rRNA from 1 species